AACGCGAAGAACCUUACCAAGGCUUGACAUACACCGGAAACGGCCAGAGAUGGUCGCCCCCUUGUGGUCGGUGUACGGGUGGUGCAUGGCUGUCGUCAGCUCGUGUCGUGAGAUGUUGGGUUAAGUCCCGCAACGAGCGCAACCCUUGUUCUGUGUUGCCAGCAUGCCCUUCGGGGUGAUGGGGACUCACAGGAGACUGCCGGGGUCAACUCGGAGGAAGGUGGGGACGACGUCAAGUCAUCAUGCCCCUUAUGUCUUGGGCUGCACACGUGCUACAAUGGCAGGUACAAUGAGUUGCGAAGCCGUGAGGCGGAGCGAAUCUCAAAAAGCCUGUCUCAGUUCGGAUUGGGGUCUGCAACUCGACCCCAUGAAGUCGGAGUUGCUAGUAAUCGCAGAUCAGCAUUGCUGCGGUGAAUACGUUCCCGGGCCUUGUACACACCG
rnacentral:rRNA from 1 species